GAGGAGGAGGAGGAAGAGGAGGAGGAGUAUAAAAAGCUGCUGCUCUCUUUCAGUCGAGUUUAAAUACACUUAAGUUUCACCUGAUCAGAGCUUUCAUCAACCUGCGGAUUACCGACAUGCUGCAGCGGUCAACUGUGUUGCUGCUCUUUGCGCUUGUUGCUGUUUCACUUGCAGCUCCAGUCCAGAAGAGAAACUCAGAAGAUGAGAGAAUUGUGCCUCUGUUGGAGCACCUGAAUGGUGGCAGGACAAGUGAACCUGUCACAACAGAGCCAGG